GCCAAGAUCGUGCCAUUGCACUCCAGCCUGGGUGACACAGAAAGAUUCUGUCUCAAAAACAAACAAAAACCAACUUCCUAUUUUGCUGUAGGAUAGGGUAUAGUGAUGACAAAGUUUCACAGAAAACAUUUUUCUACCUUGAAAUUUCACCGUCUGAGGCAGAAAUUCAGUCUCUAAUACUUUAAAAGUAAAACAAAACGAAACCUUGGAGACUGUGGCCUUUAGUAGGCGAUGGGGGAGGAUGGAUUGGAAGGGAGUAUACAGUAGGCUGUGAGAGAGAUGGGGGAGGAGGGAUUGGAAGGGAGUAUACAGUAGGAUGUGAGGGAGUUGGGGGAGGAUGGAUUGGGAGGGAGUAUACAGUAGGCUGUGUAGGAGAUGGGGAGAGGAAUUGGAAGGGAGUAUACAGUAGGCUGUGAGGGAGGUGGGGAGGAUGGAUUGGGAGGGAGUAUACAGUAGGCUGUGUAGGAGAUGGGGAGGAUGGAUUGGAAGGGAGUAUACAGUAGGCUGUGAGGGAGGUGGAGAGGAUGGAUUGGAAGGGAGUAUACAGUCGGCUGUGUAGGAGAUGGGGAGGAUGGAUUGGAAGGGAGUAUACAGCAGGCUGUGUAGGAGAUGGGGAGGAUGGAUUGGAAGGGAGUAUACAGCAGGCUGUGUAGGAGAUGGGGAGGAUGGAUUGGAAGGGAGUAUACAGUCGGCUGAGGGAGUUGGGGGAGGAUGGAUUGGAAGGGAGUAUACAGUAGGCUGUGUAGGAGUUGGGGGAGCAUGGAUUGGAAGGGAGUAUACAGUAGGCUGUGAGGGGGUUGUGUGGCACCCCUUGAGGAAACGUCAGACUAAGAUGGAAACAUAACACCAAACCUCACAUGAGGAGUUUCCAUAACGUUUCUCACCUUGCCAAAAAAUGCUUUACGUAUACUGUCUAGAAAUAGGAAUUUUAAAACAGCCUUUGUUAAUGAAAUUCAGUGAGAUCUCUAAAUGUCAUGUGUCUGUGUCAAUGUAGCGUUAAUAACUCUGUGGAAAGGAAUCUCCAAUAUCCGGUUAUAUUUGCAACCUUGUUGUCAGAGCGCAGAGGUAACUGCCCCGUCAUAUACGGAGUAGACACUGUGCAAAGUGUGUUCUUCCAUAAGAUCAAGACGGUAUCUUUCCACAUAAGCUUCCCUCUCUGUAAGGACCUUCUCCAAAAUAGCUGAGCCUUCUGUAAAACUGCUUGUGAAAAAAGAAUUGCAGGACGUCUCAAUUACCUGGUCCAUGCCCACUAAAUGCCAGUCAAGCAGUACCUUUCCUCAACAGUGACAGAAGCAGCAAUACCUCCCACACAUCUCCAAAAUGCCCCCUAGGCUUCCCAAGCAAUCACCUUUAGAUCCUAUCGUCACUCUGGGUGGCACAAGGUCCCAGGCCAACUUGUAGUGGAGGAAUAGGGUAUAAUUUCCCCUUGAAAUCAGCUCAAAAUGUUCUCUUGGUGCUUCUUUAUGGACUGUUUCUAGUACGUGGCUUUUCACGAUGACUGGUUCUUUCACUGUCCUUGAUUCCUGAAUUUCCUGAAUCUCCUGGAGCCUGGCAUUUGUUCUUGAUUGACAUUCGGAUGGUUCUGAACCCUCCCUGUAUCCUGGACACCAGUUUUGUUUAGGUUGGUACUCUGGUUCUCUGCAUGCCCAUUCUUGCUAAGCCGGUCAUGAUUUCCAGCUAGUUUCAGCAGCUCCCCUGUUCCCACGGCCAUUUUCACAUGAUAUCUCCCAAAGGCUUUUAAAAUGAAAACCUUUUACACUGGCUACGUUGGGUUCAUAUUAAAGCAAUCCUUUCCCUUACUCAAGGAAGUAAUAAUUAUAUAGGCCAAAUUAAUAAACCCUCUUGUGCAAGUUUUAUAUAUGCCAACAACUAUAAAAACACUUUUUACAAAACUGACAUUAACUAGUACAAUCAUUAUAAUGUAGCUAACAUUAAUUCAUCGUAUCUAAAACCCUUAAGCAUCUUCCAUAACCUGUUUUUUCGACUCCACUUCUUCCUGCAUUCCCAGAGCUGGAUCUUCAGCUGCCACGCUUCUUCCUCGUGUACAACAGUAGUUCUUAAUCUGUUUUGAGUCUGGACCCCUUGGAGGAGCUGAAGAACUCUACACAGAUCCUUUCC
rnacentral:lncRNA from 10 species